rnacentral:misc_RNA from 1 species
AAAUCUCAACCUCCUUGGUUUCUUCUGGAGGCUUGGACUUUGGAGGCCUUUGCUGGCAUCUCUCCCCAGCUCCUCUUGAAUGAAUUAGCAGGGUCCUCUUUGCCGACCCUUGACAUGUGAUAAGAUGUUUCCGUGUCUUGGUUUCUGGCUCUGUUGCCUUUGGGACCCGCUUCUAACCGUCUCGACUCGAGACAAUGUUCGAGCCCGUCUCCCUUCUUGGGAAACGCCUCUCGGCCCCACGAAC